ACGGAAAGCUCAAAGAAAGCAUAAUUGAAGCUUUGAUGUGUGGCCAAAGUUGGUUGUGGGCACCUUUGGGAAGUAAAGGUUUAAAUCUUGAUUUGCAAACUUUUAAUGAUGAUGAAGAUGUUGAAAGUGAUCAAGAAUAAGGGUUGAAGAUCAUUUUAUAUCUAAUAUUGUAAUUUCUUUAUUAUGGUGUUAAAUUUGUAGUGAUCUAACAAUAUUUUUUGUAAUUUCAAGUUAUUUUAGCUAAUGACAUUGUAUGAAUUUUAUGUUUGUAUUUUAAUUUAUCUAUGAAUUUUAAAUUUUUGUCUUAAUUUAUAUAUGAAUAGGUAAAAAUUAAAA